rnacentral:lncRNA from 1 species
AAGGAGAGAGAGAGAGACAAAGGGAGACAGACAGAGACAGGGGGAGGGGAGGGGAGGGGAGGAAAGAGGAGAGGAGAGGAAGGGAAGUAAGGGAGGUGUAGCUCACCCUGGAAUUGAACUCACUAUGUAGCCCAGGCUGGCCUUGAAAUCACAGUGACCCUCCUGCCUCAGCCUCCUGAGUGCUGGCAUUACAGGUGUAUGCUACCACAUCCCCCUUGUUUUGCUCUGGGCUGUAAGAUGGCUGAGGUGGUGAAGGGGCCACAAGUUGAACAAUACAAGUGAGCUCUAGAAACUAAAAAAGAUGACAACUAGAUGCUCCCCUAGAGUUUCCAGAAGGAAUGUAACCCUCACGCAUUUUGAUUUUAGAGGUCUGAUUUCCAUAUCGUGAAUAAAAUACAUUUGUACUUUUUAAACCACUAACUUGAUACUAAUUUGUUACAGCAGUGAUACUCCAUAAAUAAUUUUUUUCUCAUCUUAUUCUCUUGUUUUCUUCUUGAUUCUUUUUUUUUUUUUUCUUUUUUGAGACAGGCUCUCACUGUACAGUUCAGGCCCAUCUUGAACUCACUUUGUAGCCCAGGCUGGCUGUGAACUCACAAUGAUCCUCCUGCCUCAGCCUCCUGAGUGCUGGGAUUACACAUAUGCACCACCACGUCCGGCUCUUGAUUAAUUUCUUGCGCUCCCCAUAUCCUCCCUGAGACCCAAAGCAGUCCUCCAACCUUCAGCGUGGCCCCCUUCCGGUUGAGAAUGAAGUUCAGAAACUCAGGAGAGUGUCUCUGGACCGAGGAUGCUUAGUCCUGAGGUAGUAGGAGGCCAGACCCCGCAACAUGGCUGAGCAGCGCACCUACAAACCCAGGAGACUCCUGACCACGGCCGCAGAGCAGCCGCACCCAAGGCUGACGAGGGGUCACACUGAGCCCAGCACAGAUGCACGUGGAAGGGGAGGCUGUACUGUAGCCAUGGAGACCCCCUCAGUGCAGCCUCACGGCGGAGCGCUGCGCGGCAGCGGCCUCCAGAAAAUGGCAGAGGCGGUGAGUGGGUUCUUCCCUGUGGCCUUCGCGCGGAGCACGGCCCUACGCACGCAGCCUCCCCACUCUCUGUGUGCAGCCCGGGCACCCUGAUUCUAGACUUUUGGCCUCCAGAAUAGUGAAACAAUAAAUCUGUGUUAUGUAAGCCAUCAGGUUUGUGUUAUUGUAUUACAUUAGCCACGGG